AUUGAACGCUGGCGGCAGGCCUAACACAUGCCAGUCGAACGGUAACAGGAAGCAGCUUGCUGCUUCGCUGACGAGUGGCGGACGGGUGGGUAAUGUCUGGGAAACUGCCUGAUGGAGGGGGAUAACUACUGGAAACGGUAGCUAAUACCGCAUAACGUCGCAAGACCAAAGAGGGGGACCUUAGGGCCUCUUGCCAUCGGAUGUGCCCAGAUGGGAUUAGCUAGUAGGUGGGGUAACGGCUCACCUAGGCGACGAUCCCUAGCUGGUCUGAGAGGAUGACCAGCCACACUGGAACUGAGACACGGUCCAGACUCCUACGGGAGGCAGCAGUGGGGAAUAUUGCACAAUGGGCGCAAGCCUGAUGCAGCCAUGCCGCGUGUAUGAAGAAGGCCUUCGGGUUGUAAAGUACUUUCAGCGGGGAGGAAGGGAGUAAAGUUAAUACCUUUGCUCAUUGACGUUACCCGCAGAAGAAGCACCGGCUAACUCCGUG
rnacentral:rRNA from 1 species